rnacentral:rRNA from 1 species
AUGAACGCUGGCGGCGUGCCUAAUACAUGCCAGUCGCGCGAACAGACGAGGAGCUUGCUCCUCUGACGUUAGCGGCGGACGGGUGAGUAACACGUGGAUAACCUACCUAUAAGACUGGGAUAACUUCGGGAAACCGGAGCUAAUACCGGAUAAUAUAUUGAACCGCAUGGUUCAAUAGUGAAAGACGGUUUUGCUGUCACCUAUAGAUGGAUCCGCGCCGCAUUAGCUAGUUGGUAAGGUAACGGCUUACCAAGGCAACGAUGCGUAGCCGACCUGAGAGGGUGAUCGGCCACACUGGAACUGAGACACGGUCCAGACUCCUACGGGAGGCAGCAGUAGGGAAUCUUCCGCAAUGGGCGAAAGCCUGACGGAGCAACGCCGCGUGAGUGAUGAAGGUCUUCGGAUCGUAAAACUCUGUUAUUAGGGAAGAACAAAUGUGUAAGUAACUAUGCACGUCUUGACGGUACCUAAUCAGAAAGCCACGGCUAACUACGUG